GCUCCCACAGCUAAGAACACACAGAACUUGACCGUGCUCCUCUGUCCCUGGAGCCUGGUCUCUGCGAUGCCAGGGUACUCAUCCUGGCGGUUUCCCUCCCACCACCCCUGAGAGCCCAGGUCCCCAGCCUGGCAGCAGGGCAUGGACAGAACAGAACAGAACACACCAAUUGCCUCUGGAGAAUGUCCCCAGCCCAAGACGAAAGCGGCGGGCCAAGGAGACCAGCUGUCUGCAGAGAAGACAGUAGCCCAAGGAAUGUACCGAGGAAGGGUGAGGGAAGGACAAAAUCCUCCAGGAGGAUCAGCAUUCCCCUUGAAUCUUGAAAAAAAGGUCAGGCCUCUGUAUUUUUGUCACAACUGAGAGACCACAAGAUGACUGGGAAAAGAUCCGGCGUGGACAAGAGGCGUCUAGAAAUUUCGCGACGCUUCUCAGCCUCCGUGAGUCUUGCAAAUAUUAAUUUAACCUGCUGGGUCUGGACUAGGUCUAGAAAUGUAUUCCUUGGCAACUUAAUGAGCAAGCCGGGAAAGCCUUCCCAAGAUGAUUUAGAAUGGGAGACUUCCCGAUCCCUUGAGCGAUUCAGCUAGCACUUGACCUCAGUGUCCAGAACCAUAACAAAUUCUGAACUUUGUGAAUUUGUUGUGGAAAAGAGCAAAUUUUACCAACCAGAAUGUCAACCUCAGUCAAAGAUCUGGUGACACUGGGAUUCACAAAUGCAUGCUGCCUGAGCCUCAGGAGUCCAAGGGACCAACUCACCCAGUGCUUGCGGUUUGAGGACGACGCCUACCAAGACCUCCCCCAGACAACCACUGUUGAGCAUCAUCGCUACAAAGAGCUGGUCUUCCUCAGGUUUCCAUCACUACCUGCCGCGGUCAGUCAGGCUGAGGAAGCAGAAGUCCACGAGAGAAGGACCCCUUUCCUAUUGGACCACUGGAGAGAUCCUUUUAUUGUUACCAUGCUGUGAAUAAAU